AUACGGAGGGGGCUAGCGUUGUUCGGAAUUACUGGGCGUAAAGCGCGCGUAGGCGGAUUGAUCAGUCAGGGGUGAAAUCCCGAGGCUUAACCUCGGAACUGCCUCUGAUACUGUCAAUCUUGAGUUCGAGAGAGGUGAGUGGAAUUCCUAGUGUAGAGGUGAAAUUCGUAGAUAUUAGGAAGAACACCAGUGGCGAGGGCGGCUCACUGGCUCGAUACUGACGCUGAGGUGCGAAAGCGUGGGGAGCAAACAGGAUUAGAUACCCUAGUAGUCC
rnacentral:rRNA from 1 species